rnacentral:rRNA from 1 species
GACGAACGCUGGCGGCGUGCCUAACACAUGCAAGUCGAGCGAUGAAGUUUCCUUCAGGAAAUGGAUUAGCGGCGGACGGGUGAGUAACACGUGGGUAACCUGCCUCAUAGAGGGGAAUAGCCUCCCGAAAGGGAGAUUAAUACCGCAUAAUAUUACAAUUUCGCAUGAAACAGUAAUUAAAGGAGCAAUCCGCUAUGAGAUGGACCCGCGGCGCAUUAGCUAGUUGGUGAGGUAACGGCUCACCAAGGCGACGAUGCGUAGCCGACCCGAGAGGGUGAUCGGCCACAUUGGGACUGAGACACGGCCCAGACUCCUACGGGAGGCAGCAGUGGGGAAUAUUGCACAAUGGGGGAAACCCUGAUGCAGCAACGCCGCGUGAGUGAUGACGGUCUUCGGAUUGUAAAGCUCUGUCUUUGGGGACGAUAAUGACGGUACCCAAGGAGGAAGCCACGGCUAACUACGUGCCAGCAGCCGCGGUAAAAC